rnacentral:tRNA from 2 species
GCGUGCGUAGCUCAGUUGGAUAGAGCGUCUGCCUCCGGAGCAGAAGGUCGUGGGUUCGAGUCCCGCCGCGCGCA